rnacentral:tRNA from 1 species
GGGGUGGUGGCGCAGUUGGCUAGCGCGUAGGUCUCAUAGAAUCCUGAGGUCGAGAGUUCGAGCCUCUCUCACCCCA